GAUGAACGCUGGCGGCGUGCUUAACACAUGCAAGUCGAACGGAAAGGCCCAAGCUUGCUUGGGUACUCGAGUGGCGAACGGGUGAGUAACACGUGGGUGAUCUGCCCUGCACUUCGGGAUAAGCCUGGGAAACUGGGUCUAAUACCGGAUAGGACCACAUUUUGGAUGGUGUGGUGGAAAGUUUUUCGGUGUGGGGUGAGCUCGCGGCCUAUCAGCUUGUUGGUGGGGUAAUGGCCUACCAAGGCGUCGACGGGUAGCCGGCCUGAGAGGGUGUACGGCCACAUUGGGACUGAGAUACGGCCCAGACUCCUACGGGGGGCAGCAGUGGGGAAGAUUGCACAAUGGGGGAGAGCCUGAUGCAGCGACGCGGCGGGGGGGAUGACGGCCUCCGGGCUGUAAACUCCUUUCGCUAGGGACGAAGCGUUUUUGUGACGGUACCUGGAGAAGAAGCACCGGCUAACUACGUG
rnacentral:rRNA from 1 species